UGCGUAGGCGGCUAAAUAAGUCAGAGGUGAAAUGCUACGGCUUAACUGUGGAAUUGCCUUUGAAACUAUAUAGCUAGAAUAGAGUUGAGGUUGGCGGAAUGUGACAUGUAGCGGUGAAAUGCAUAGAUAUGUCAUAGAACAUCGAUUGCGAAGGCAGCUAACUGGGCUUUUAUUGACGCUGAGGCACGAAAGCGUGGGGAUCAAACA
rnacentral:rRNA from 1 species